rnacentral:rRNA from 1 species
AGUCGAGCGAGAAGACGUAGCAAUACGUUUGUAAAGCGGCGAACGGGUGAGGAAUACAUGGGUAACCUACCCUCGAGUGGGGAAUAACUAGCCGAAAGGUUAGCUAAUACCGCAUACGGCUCCUGGUCUGCGGAUCGGGAGAGAAAGCGAUACCGUGGGUAUCGCGCUCUUGGAUGGGCUCAUGUCCUAUCAGCUUGUUGGUGAGGUAACGGCUCACCAAGGCUUCGACGGGUAGCUGGUCUGAGAGGACGAUCAGCCACACUGGCACUGCGACACGGGCCAGACUCCUACGGGAGGCAGCAGUAAGGAAUAUUGCGCAAUGGGCGACAGCCUGACGCAGCGACGCCGCGUGGGGGAUGAAGGUCUUCGGAUUGUAAACCCCUUUCGGCAGGGAAGAUGGAACGGGUAACCGUUCGGACGGUACCUGUAGAAGCAGCCACGGCUAACUUCGUGCCAGCAGCCGCGGUAAUACGAAGGUGGCAAGCGUUGUUCGGAUUUACUGGGCGUACAGGGAGCGUAGGCGGUUGGGUAAGCCCUCCGUGAAAUCUCCGGGCCUAACCCGGAAAGUGCGGAGGGGACUGCUCGGCUAGAGGAUGGGAGAGGAGUGCG